rnacentral:rRNA from 1 species
CCUGCACAAGCGGUGGAGUAUGUGGCUCAAUUCGAUGCAACGCGAAGAACCUUACCUGGGCUUGACAUCCCUGGAAUCCCCUGGAAACAGGGGAGUGCCCUUCGGGGAGCCAGGAGACAGGUGCUGCAUGGCUGUCGUCAGCUCGUGUCGUGAGAUGUUGGGUUAAGUCCCGCAACGAGCGCAACCCUUGUCUUUAAUUGCCAUCAUUCAGUUGGGCACUUUAAAGAGACUGCCGGUGUUAAACCGGAGGAAGGUGGGGAUGACGUCAAGUCCUCAUGGCCCUUAUGGGUAGGGCUACACACGUCAUACAAUGGCCGGUACAGAGGGUAGCCAACCCGCGAGGGGGAGCCAAUCCCACAAAGCCGGUCGUAGUCCGGAUCGCAGUCUGCAACUCGACUGCGUGAAGUCGGAAUCGCUAGUAAUCGCGGAUCAGCAUGUCGCGGUGAAUACGUUCCCGGGUCUU